UACGGGGGAUGCGAGCGUUGUCCGGAUUCACUGGGCGUAAAGGGCGCGUAGGCGGUUCACUCAGUCGGGCUUGUAAGUGCGGGGCUCACCCCCGUGAUGGGCUCGGGACGGGUGUGACUGGGGCGCGGUAGAGGGAGACGGAAUGCCGGGUGUAGUGGUGAAAUGCGUAGAGAUCCGGCGGAACACCGGUGGCGAAGGCGGUCUCCUGGGCCGAGGGCCGACGCUGAGGCGCGAGAGCGUGGGGAGCGAACCGG
rnacentral:rRNA from 1 species